GCCCUCUUGGCUUAGUGGUAAAGCGUAUCACUAGUAUUGCCCCUCAGGCGAAAACAUGAUAAGAUCGCUAGUUCGAUUCUGGCAGAGGGCA